rnacentral:ncRNA from 1 species
GCCACCGCGAGGUGGUGUCUGAAGGAAGUGUGGAGCAAACGUGCGGGUCGAUGGACAAAUACCGGAUAUAAGGCGCGAGCGCCGGACGAGCGGGCGACUUACCGCGAAGUCCAUAUCCAUCAAGGGUGCGAAGCGUAGAUCCGGCGACUGUGCAUGGAAGGCGGCUGAA